rnacentral:rRNA from 1 species
GAAUAUUGGACAAUGGGCGAAAGCCUGAUCCAGCCAUGCCGCGUGAGUGAAGAAGGCCUUAGGGUUGUAAAGCUCUUUCAGCGGGGAAGAUAAUGACGGUACCCGCAGAAGAAGCCCCGGCUAACUUCGUGCCAGCAGCCGCGGUAAUACGAAGGGGGCUAGCGUUGUUCGGAUUUACUGGGCGUAAAGCGGGCGUAGGCGGGUCGCUAAGUCAGGGGUGAAAUCCCGAGGCUUAACCUCGGAACUGCCUUUGAUACUGACGACCUGGAGAUCGGGAGAGGUUGGUGGAAUUCCGAGUGUAGAGGUGAAAUUCGUAGAUAUUCGGAGGAACACCAGAAGCGAAGGCGGCCAACUGGCCCGAUACUGACGCUGAGGCGCGAAAGCGUGGGGAGCAAACAGG